CCCUUAGAUGUUCUGGGCUGCACGCGCGCUACACUGACGCACGCAACAGGUGCCUGCUCCGAGAGGACUGGGUAAUCAUUUGAGUGUGCGUCGUGAUGGGGAUAGAAUAUUGUAAUUAUUACUCUUCAACGAGGAAUUCCUAGUAAGCGCAAGUCGGCAGCUUGCGCUGAUUACGUCCCUGCCCUUUGUACACACCGCCCGUCGCUCCUACCGAUGGGUGAUCCGGUGAAUGAUUCGGACUUCAGCGGCUCCUCUGGGGUGCGCCGGAGAAAGUUUUGUGAACCUUAUCACUUGGAGGAAGGAGAAGUCGUAACA
rnacentral:rRNA from 1 species